GGUUAAUCACUGGACCAUGGCCUUUUACUGGCAACAUAAGCAGUGGAUUUUGUAUGCUUAGGGGCCACAAUGAACAAAAUAACAAAAAAUUAAAUCAAGUACAAGAGAAAAUGAUGCCAUCAAGAGACACAGUAAACAUGAGAUGUAUGAGUCUUCUGCUGCUAUGACAUGGAAUGUUUUACGGUGGGUCUCAACCAAGAACCUAGAAGAGUAGAGGGACUUCCUCCCCCAGGAUCAGCCAAUUCCUAGAGAUAGGAAAACACUGGCCAGCAAGUGCAACUCUCCUAUACAAAGUAAUCAAUCAAGAGCUCACACUCCAGCCAUCUCUUUUUUUGGUUCUUGCACUGUGGGCCACUAUUCCCCUGCCUUAAUCACACCAGAGCCAGGAACCAAACAACUAAGGACAGCCCCUCUACCCCAGAGCCCACUGAAAUUAUUCAAACCGGCCAAUUCUAAACCUGCUUUCCCUGUCUUGCCCAUUACUUCCUGUGGAAACCACAAU
rnacentral:lncRNA from 1 species